rnacentral:rRNA from 1 species
CCCUUAGAUGUCCUGGGCCGCACGCGUGCUACACUGAUGCAUACAGCGAGUACUUUCCAGCUCCGCGAGGCAGCUGGUAAUCAGCAAUAUGCAUCGUGCUGGGGAUAGAUCUUUGGAAUUAUAGAUCUUGAACGAGGAAUUCCUAGUAAGCGCAAGUCAUUAGCUUGCGCUGAUUAAGUCCCUGCCCCUUGUACACACCGCCCGUCGCUCCUACCGAUUUCGAGUGAUUCGGUGAACCUUUUGGACAGCGUCUGUCCUCGUGUCAGAUGCUGAAAGUCAAGUAAACCAUAUCACUUAGAGGAAGGAGAAGUCGUAACA